GACGUAGGGGGCGAGCGUUGUCCGGAUUCAUUGGGCGUAAAGAGCGCGUAGGCGGCCCGGAAAGUGGGGUGUGAAAACCCGGGGCUCAACCCCGGGCCUGCAUUCGAUACGGGCAGACUAGAGUUCGGUAGGGGAGUCUGGAAUUCCUGGUGUAGCGGUGAAAUGCGCAGAUAUCAGGAGGAACACCGGUGGCGAAGGCGGGUCUCUGGGCAGUAACUGACGCUGAGGAGCGAAAGCGUGGGGAGCGAACAGG
rnacentral:rRNA from 1 species